rnacentral:rRNA from 1 species
UACGAAGGGGGCUAGCGUUGUUCGGAAUCACUGGGCGUAAAGCGCACGUGGGCGGAUCCUUAAGUCGGGGGUGAAAUCCUGGAGCUCAACUCCAGAACUGCCUUCGAUACUGAGGAUCUCGAGUCCGGGAGAGGUGAGUGGAACUGCGAGUGUAGAGGUGAAAUUCGUAGAUAUUCGCAAGAACACCAGUGGCGAAGGCGGCUCACUGGCCCGGUACUGACGCUGAGGUGCGAAAGCGUGGGGAGCAAACAGG